GACGAGCGCUGGCGGCGUGCUUAACACAUGCAAGUCGAACGGAAAGGCCCUGCUUGCAGGGUACUCGAGUGGCGAACGGGUGAGUAACACGUGGGUGAUCUGCCCUGCACUUCGGGAUAAGCCUGGGAAACUGGGUCUAAUACCGGAUAGGAGCCAUUUUUAGUGUGAUGGUUGGAAAGUUUUUUCGGUGUAGGAUGAGCUCGCGGCCUAUCAGCUUGUUGGUGGGGUAAUGGCCUACCAAGGCGGCGACGGGUAGCCGGCCUGUGAGGGUGGACGGCCACAUUGGGACUGAGGGACGGCCCAGACUCCUACGGGAGGCAGCAGUGGGGAAUAUUGCACAAUGGGCGCAAGGCUGAUGCAGCGACGCCGCGUGGGGGAUGACGGCCUUCGGGUUGUAAACUCCUUUCGCUAGGGACGAAGCUUUUUGUGACGGUACCUAGAUAAGAAGCACCGGCUAACUACGUG
rnacentral:rRNA from 1 species